rnacentral:rRNA from 1 species
AGCGAACGCUGGCGGCAGGCCUAACACAUGCAAGUCGAACGAAGUCUUCGGACUUAGUGGCGGACGGGUGAGUAACACGUGGGAACGUGCCACUAGGUUCGGAAUAACUCAGGGAAACUUGUGCUAAUACCGAAUGUGCCCUUCGGGGGAAAGAUUUAUCGCCUUUAGAGCGGCCCGCUUCUGAUUAGCUAGUUGGUGAGGUAAAGGCUCACCAAGGCUACGAUCAGUAGCUGGUCUGAGAGGAUGACCAGCCACAUUGGGACUGAGACACGGCCCAAACUCCUACGGGAGGCAGCAGUGGGGAAUCUUGCGCAAUGGGCGAAAGCCUGACGCAGCCAUGCCGCGUGGAUGAUGAAGGUCUUAGGAUUGUAAAAUCCUUUCACCGGUGAAGAUAAUGACUGUAGCCGGAGAAGAAGCCCCGGCUAACUUCGUGCCAGCAGCCGCCGUAAGAC